rnacentral:lncRNA from 1 species
UGUAAAUAUCAUGCAAAACGUAUUUCCAUAUUAUUCAUUUUGUCAAGGAAAUAGUUAAAAUAUAUAUGGAAGAAAGAAGUCUAGGAAUAAUGGAUUAUUAGCAGUAUCAACAUACCAAUGGAGGCCAGGGUGAAGAAAAAUGAAGAGUGGGACCAGAUGAAGAAUAGG